rnacentral:rRNA from 1 species
GAUGAACGCUGGCGGCGUGCCUAAUACAUGCAAGUCGAGCGAACAGAUGAGGAGCUUGCUCCUCUGACGUUAGCGGCGGACGGGUGAGUAACACGUGGAUAACCUACCUAUAAGACUGGGAUAACUUCGGGAAACCGGAGCUAAUACCGUAUAAUAUAUUGAACCGCAUGGUUCAAUAGUGAAAGACGGUUUUGCUGUCACUUAUAGAUGGAUCCGCGCCGCAUUCGCUAGUUGGUAAGGUAACGGCUUACCAAGGCAACGAUGCGUAGCCGACCUGAGAGGGUGAUCGGCCACACUGGAACUGAGACACGGCCCAGACUCCUACGGGAGGCCGCAGUAGGGAAUCCUCCGCAAUGGGCGAAAGCCUGACGGAGCAACGCCGCGUGAGUGAUGAAGGUCUUCGGAUCGUAAAACUCUGUUAUUAGGGAAGAACAAAUGCGUAAGUAACUAUGCACGUCUUGACGGUACCUAAUCAGAAAGCCACGGCUAACUACGUG